UACGGGGGGAGCAAGCGUUGUUCGGAUUUACUGGGCGUAAAGGGCGCGUAGGCGGCCACCGCAAGUCGACUGUGGAAUCUCCGGGCUUAACUCGGAAAGGUCAGCCGAUACUGCGGGGCUAGAGUGCAGAAGGGGCAACUGGAAUUCUCGGUGUAGCGGUGAAAUGCGUAGAUAUCGAGAGGAACACCUGCGGCGAAGGCGGGUUGCUGGGCUGACACUGACGCUGAUUGUGCGAAAGCUAGGGGAGCGAACGGG
rnacentral:rRNA from 1 species